CUAUACAUGCAAGUCGAGCGGACAGAAGGGAGCUUGCUCCCGGAUGUUAGCGGCGGACGGGUGAGUAACACGUGGGUAACCUGCCUGUAAGACUGGGAUAACUCCGGGAAACCGGAGCUAAUACCGGAUAGUUCCUUGAACCGCAUGGUUCAAGGAUGAAAGACGGUUUCGGCUGUCACUUACAGAUGGACCCGCGGCGCAUUAGCUAGUUGGUGGGGUAAUGGCUCACCAAGGCGACGAUGCGUAGCCGACCUGAGAGGGUGAUCGGCCACACUGGGACUGAGACACGGCCCAGACUCCUACGGGAGGCAGCAGUAGGGAAUCUUCCGCAAUGGACGAAAGUCUGACGGAGCAACGCCGCGUGAGUGAUGAAGGUUUUCGGAUCGUAAAGCUCUGUUGUUAGGGAAGAACAAGUGCGAGAGUAACUGCUCGCACCUUGACGGUACCUAACCAGAAAGCCACGGCUAACUACGUGCCAGCAGCCGCGGUAAUACGUAGGUGGCAAGCGUUGUCCGGAAUUAUUGGGCGUAAAGGGCUCGCAGGCGGUUUCUUAAGUCUGAUGUGAAAGCCCCCGGCUCAACCGGGGAGGGUCAUUGGAAACUGGGAAACUUGAGUGCAGAAGAGGAGAGUGGAAUUCCACGUGUAGCGGUGAAAUGCGUAGAGAUGUGGAGGAACACCAGUGGCGAAGGCGACUCUCUGGUCUGUAACUGACGCUGAGGAGCGAAAGCGUGGGGAGCGAACAGGAUUAGAUACCCUGGUAGUCCACGCCGUAAACGAUGAGUGCUAAGUGUUAGGGGGUUUCCGCCCCUUAGUGCUGCAGCUAACGCAUUAAGCACUCCGCCUGGGGAGUACGGUCGCAAGACUGAAACUCAAAGGAAUUGACGGGGGCCCGCACAAGCGGUGGAGCAUGUGGUUUAAUUCGAAGCAACGCGAAGAACCUUACCAGGUCUUGACAUCCUCUGACAACCCUAGAGAUAGGGCUUUCCCUUCGGGGACAGAGUGACAGGUG
rnacentral:rRNA from 1 species